rnacentral:rRNA from 1 species
AACCUGGUUGAUCCUGCCAGUAGUCAUAUGCUUGUCUCAAAGACUAAGCCAUGCAUGUCUAAGUAUAAGUAUUAUACAGCGAAACUGCGAAUGGCCCAUUAAAACAGUUAUAAUUUAUUUGAUAAUCGAAUUUACAUGGAUAACCGUGGUAAUUCUAGAGUUAAUACAUGCUGGUAGGCCCGACUUUUUGGAAGGGCGGUAUUUAUUAGAUAACAAACCAAUAUUCCUCUGGUCUAUUGUGGUGAAUCAUAAUAACUGAUCGAAUCGCAAGGUUUUUAACCGCGAUAAGUCAUUCAAGUUUCUGCCCCAUCAGCUUUCGAUGGUAGUGUAUUGGACUACCAUGGCUUUUACGGGUAACGGAGGAUUAGGGUUCGAUUCCGGAGAGGGAGCCUGAGAAACGGCUACCACAUCUAAGGAAGGCAGCAGGCGCGUAAAUCACCCAAUCCUGACUCAGGGAGGUAGUGACAAGAAAUAACGGACCGAGGCCUUCGGGCUUCGGGAUUGCAAUGAGCCGAAUUUACACCCCUUAGCGAAGAUCGAUUGGAGGGCAAGUCUGGUGCCAGCCAGCCCGCGGUAAUUCCAGCUCCAAUAGCGUAUAUUAAUGUUGUUGCAGUUAAAAAGCUCGUAAUUGGAU